ensembl:lncRNA
GGCCUUUCCGGACGCCCAGAGGGUUCUGAGGCAGCUCCAAGCCCAUGAGGAUGCGUGGAUCGUGGGCUCGUUGGCCCACAAGCAGCCUGACAAAGUGAGCAGUUGGGUGCCAGACUGAUCUCCUGGUUAUGAAAGGAUGCCGGGACCUACCAGAAUGAUUAAAGAUGCAUGAGAUGCAGAGAGACCUGGCACUCAACACAUCCACAAUAAGAUGAUUACUAAUAGUACAGUACAUCACAAAUGUCCAGUAAUAGCAACUUUUACUUCCAUUUGUCACUGAUGAACUCUGCCUCAACUCUGC